rnacentral:lncRNA from 1 species
AAUCAUCUUCCUCAACAGAUCCUUCGCCGCCGGCGAUACGGAUCGGAAGACCUUCGGCGGAAAUCUCAAAUUCCCUCGCAAAACCGCCUGGAAGAUCUCCGUCGCCGACUCGCCGCAAAACGGCGGAAUCCCGCCGAGCAUUAUGUACAUCAUCACGCCGGCGCUCCAAACAUCGAUCUUUUCAUCAUACUCCCUGCCCAUCAGCACCUCCGGCGCAACGUAGUACGGCGUCCCGACCACGCCCUCCAUGACCCCGCCGUCGCCGGCCCACUCCGCCGACCCGAAAUCCGCGAGCUUCAAAUUGUUCUUCGAAUCAAACAGAACAUUCUCCGGCUUCAAAUCCCUAUGAACCACGCCGAGGCGGUGGCAAUGCGAUACGGCCUCGAGCAGCUGCUUCAUGAUCGCGGCGGCCUCGGGCUCCGAGAGCGUGCGCUUCACGACCCGGU